CCUACGGGUGGCAGCAGUGAGGAAUAUUGGUCAAUGGUCGGGAGACUGAACCAGCCAAGCCGCGUGAGGGAGGAAGGUCCAGAGUAUCGUAAACCUCUUUUGUCAGGGAACAAAGGCGGGGACGUGUCCCCGGAUGCGUGUACCUGAAGAAAAAGCAUCGGCUAACUCCGUGCCAGCAGCCGCGGUAAUACGGGGGAUGCGAGCGUUAUCCGGAUUUAUUGGGUUAAAAGGGGGCGCAGGCGGGGUUUUAAGUCAGCGGUCAAAGCCCGGGGCUCAACCCCGGCCCGCCGUUGAAACUGGGAGUCUCGAGUUGGAGAGAAGUAGGCGGAAUGCGCGGUGUGGCGGUGAAAUGCAUAGAUAUCGCGCAGAACGCCGAUUGCGAAGGCAGCAUGCCGGGUCCACACUGACGCUGAGGCACGAAAGCGUGGGUAUCGAACAGGAUUAGAUACCCUAGUAGUC
rnacentral:rRNA from 1 species